AGGAGGAACAGCCCCAGUGGCGGGGCAGCUCUGGAAACCUGGAUUCAGCUCCGGCAGGAACUCCGUCCGCAGGGCCUGGAGGCUCCGGGGCGGG
rnacentral:pre_miRNA from 1 species